rnacentral:rRNA from 1 species
UACGUAGGGUGCGAGCGUUUAAUCGGAAUUACUGGGCGUAAAGCGUGCGCAGGCGGUUUGCUAAGACCGAUGUGAAAUCCCCGGGCUUAACCUGGGAACUGCAUUGGUGACUGGCAGGCUAGAGUAUGGCAGAGGGGGGGUAGAAUUCCACGUGUAGCAGUGAAAUGCGUAGAGAUGUGGAGGAAUACCGAUGGCGAAGGCAGCCCCCUGGGCCAAUACUGACGCUCAUGCACGAAAGCGUGGGGAGCAAACGAGGAUUACGAA